rnacentral:rRNA from 1 species
AGAGUUUGAUCCUGGCUCAGAUUGAACGCUGGCGGCGUGCUUAACACAUGCAAGUCGUGCGAGAAAGGGGACUUCGGUCCCUGAGUAGAGCGGCGCACGGGUGAGUAACGCGUGGAUAAUCUCCCCAGAAGUUCGGGAUAACGGCGGGAAACUGCCGCUAAUACCGGAUACGCUCCAAUUUCGGUUGGGGGAAAGGCGGCCUCUGUUUACAAGCUGUCGCUUCUGGAUGAGUCCGCGUCCCAUUAGCUUGUUGGUGGGGUAAUGGCCUACCAAGGCUACGAUGGGUAGCUGGUCUGAGAGGAUGAUCAGCCACACUGGAACUGAAACACGGUCCAGACUCCUACGGGAGGCAGCAGUGGGGAAUAUUGCGCAAUGGGGGAAACCCUG